GACGAACGCUGGCGGCGUGCUUAAUACAUGCAAGUCGAACGGAAAGGCCCUGCUUUUGUGGGGUGCUCGAGUGGCGAACGGGUGAGUAACACGUGAGUAACCUGCCCUUGACUUUGGGAUAACUUCAGGAAACUGGGGCUAAUACCGGAUAGGAGCUCCUGCUGCAUGGUGGGGGUUGGAAAGUUUCGGCGGUUGGGGAUGGACUCGCGGCUUAUCAGCUUGCUGGUGGGGUAGUGGCUUACCAAGGCUUGACGGGUAGCCGGCCUGAGAGGGUGACCGGCCACAUUGGGACUGAGAUACGGCCCAGACUCCUACGGGAGGCAGCAGUGGGGAAUAUUGCACAAUGGGCGGAAGCCUGAUGCAGCAACGCCGCGUGCGGGAUGACGGCCUUCGGGUUGUAAACCGCUUUCGCCUGUGACGAAGCGUGAGUGACGGUAAUGGGUAAAGAAGCACCGGCUAACUACGUG
rnacentral:rRNA from 1 species